CCCUUAGAUGUCCUGGGCUGCACGCGCGCUACACUGAUGUGUCCAGUAAGCACCUAACCUCUUCCGAAAGGAACGGGUAACCUUUGCAAAGCACAUCGUGAUGGGGAUAGAUUAUUGCAAUUAUUAGUCUUGAACGAGGAAUUCCUAGUAAGCACAAGUCAUCAGCUUGUGUUGAUUACGUCCCUGCCCUUUGUACACACCGCCCGUCGCUCCUACCGAUUGAGCAUCCCGGUGAAGACUCAGGAGAUAUGUACGUGGCUGGUCUCCAGCUGCGUUGCGUGCCGAAUUUGUCUAAACCUUGAUGCUUAGAGGAAGGAGAAGUCGUAACA
rnacentral:rRNA from 1 species